rnacentral:rRNA from 1 species
AGUGAACGCUGGCGGUAGGCCUAACACAUGCAAGUCGAACGGCAGCACAGUAAGAGCUUGCUCUUACGGGUGGCGAGUGGCGGACGAGUGAGGAAUACAUCGGAAUCUACUUUUUCGUGGGGGAUAACGUAGGGAAACUUACGCUAAUACCGCAUACGACCUACGGGUGAAAGCAGGGGAUCUUCGGACCUUGCGCGAUUGAAUGAGCCGAUGUCGGAUUAGCUAGUUGGCGGGGUAAAGGCCCACCAAGGCGACGAUCCGUAGCUGGUCUGAGAGGAUGAUCGGCCACACUGGAACUGAGACACGGUCCAGACUCCUACGGGAGGCAGCAGUAGGGAAUAUUGGACAAUGGGCGCAAGCCUGAUCCAGCCAUGCCGCGUGAGUGAAGAAGGCCUUCGGGUUGUAAAGCCCUUUUGUUGGGAAAGAAAAGCAGCAGGUUAAUACCCCGCUGUUCUGACGGUACCCAAAGAAUAAGCACCGGCUAACUUCGUG